AGAUUAGAGUUUGAUCCUGGCUCAGAACGAACGCUGGCGGCAUGCCUAACACAUGCAAGUCGAACGAACCCUUCGGGGUUAGUGGCGCACGGGUGCGUAACGCGUGGGAACCUGCCUUUAGGUUCGGAAUAACAGUUAGAAAUGACUGCUGAUACCGGAUAAUGUCUUCGGACCAAAGAUUUAUUGCCUUUAGAUGGGCCCGCGUUGGAUUAGAUAGUUGGUGGGGUAAUGGCCUACCAAGUCGACGAUCCAUAGCUGGUCUGAGAGGAUGAUCAGCCACACUGGGACUGAGACGCGGCCCAGACUCCUACGGGAGGCAGCAGUGGGGAAUAUUGGACAAUGGGCGAAAGCCUGAUCCAGCAAUGCCGCGUGAGUGAUGAAGGCCUUAGGGUUGUAAAGCUCUUUUACCAGGGAUGAUAAUGACAGUACCUGGAGAAUAAGCUCCGGCUAACUCCGUGCCAGCAGCCGCGGUAAUACGGAGGGAGCUAGCGUUGUUCGGAAUUACUGGGCGUAAAGCGCACGUAGGCGGCUUUUCAAGUCAGGGGUGAAAUCCCGGGGCUCAACCCCGGAACUGCCCUUGAAACUGGAUGGCUAGAAUACUGGAGAGGUGAGUGGAAUUCCGAGUGUAGAGGUGAAAUUCGUAGAUAUUCGGAAGAACACCAGUGGCGAAGGCGACUCACUGGACAGUUAUUGACGCUG
rnacentral:rRNA from 1 species